AGCCAUCCUUUAAAGAAAGCGUAACAGCUCACUGGUCUAGUGAUUCUGCGCGGAAAAUAUAACGGGGCUAAGAUAUGCACCGAAGCUUUAGAUUCAAUUUUAAAUUGAGUGGUAGGAGAGCGUUCUAUUCAGCGUUGAAGAUGUACCGGCAAGGAGCGUUGGAGCGGAUAGAAGUGAGCAUGCGGGCAUGAGUAGCGAUAAUUGAGGUGAGAAUCCUCAACGCCGAAAACCCAAGGUUUCCUACGCGAUGCUCGUCAUCGCAGGGUUAGUCGGGUCCUAAGUCGAGUCUGAAAAGGGUAGACGAUGGCAAAUUGGUUAAUAUUUCAAUACCAACAUACAAGCGCGAUGUGGGGACGCAUAGAGUUAGUCGAGCUCACUGAUGGAAUAGUGGGUCGAAGGACGUAGGCUGUAACUUAGGCAAAUCCGGGUUACAUGAGGCCGAGAUCUUACAGGCUCCUGACACUCUUCGGAGGAGAGGGAGAAUCGAUGAUACUGUCGUGCCAAGAAAAGCCACUAAGUAUAUUGUAUUUUGCCCGUACCGUAAACCGACACAGGUGGGUGGGAUGAGUAUUCUAAGGCGCGUGGAAGAACCCUGGUUAAGGAACUCUGCAAACUAGCACCGUAUCUUCGGCAUAAGGUGUGCCUACUUUGGUAUAUGGAUUUGCUCCAAAAAGCUAGAGAGGUUGCAACAAAGAGUCCCUCCCGACUGUUUACCAAAAACACAGCACUUUGCUAACACGUAAGUGGAUGUAUAAGGUGUGACGCCUGCCCGGUGCUGGAAGGUUAACUGAUGAUGUCAGCGCAAGCGAAGCAUUUGAUUGAAGCCCCAGUAAACGGCGGCCGUAACAAUAACGGUCCUAAGGUAGCGAAAUUCCUUGUCGGUUAAAUACCGACCUGCAUGAAUGGCGUAACGAGAUGGGAGCUGUCUCAACCAGGGAUCCAGUGAAAUUGUAGUGGAGGUGAAAAUUCCUCCUACCCGCGGAAAGACGGAAAGACCCCGUGCACCUUUACUACAGCUUGACACUGUAGCUUGGAUAUUCAUGUGCAGGAUAGGUGGGAGGCUAUGAUAUAUGGACGCAAGUACAUAUGGAGCCAUCCUUGAGAUACCACCCUUGAAUAUUUGAGUUACUAACUGCGACGAGUUAACCUCGUUCAGGACAAUGUCUGGUGGGUAGUUUGACUGGGGCGGUCGCCUCCUAAAAAGUAACGGAGGCUUACAAAGGUUAGUUCAUGGCGGUUGGAAAUCGCCAGUUGAGUAUAAUGGCAUAAACUAGCUUGACUGUGAGACAUACAAGUCGAACAGAGACGAAAGUCGGUCAUAGUGAUCCGGUGGUUCUGUGUGGAAGGGCCAUCGCUCAAAGGAUAAAAGGUACGCCGGGGAUAACAGGCUGAUCUCCCCCAAGAGCU
rnacentral:rRNA from 1 species